rnacentral:rRNA from 1 species
AUUCCUACGGGAGGCAGCAGUGGGGAAUCUUAGACAAUGGGCGCAAGCCUGAUCUAGCCAUGCCGCGUGUGUGAUGAAGGUCUUAGGAUCGUAAAGCACUUUCGCCAGGGAUGAUAAUGACAGUACCUGGUAAAGAAACCCCGGCUAACUCCGUGCCAGCAGCCGCGGUAAUACGGAGGGGGUUAGCGUUGUUCGGAAUUACUGGGCGUAAAGCGCGCGUAGGCGGAUUGGAAAGUUGGGGGUGAAAUCCCGGGGCUCAACCCCGGAACUGCCUCCAAAACUAUCAGUCUAGAGUUCGAGAGAGGUGAGUGGAAUUCCAAGUGUAGAGGUGAAAUUCGUAGAUAUUUGGAGGAACACCAGUGGCGAAGGCGGCUCACUGGCUCGAUACUGACGCUGAGGUGCGAAAGUGUGGGGAGCAAACAGGAUUAGAUACCCUGGUAGUCCACACCGUAAACGAUGAAUGCCAGUCGUCGGGCAGUAUACUGUUCGGUGACACACCUAACGGAUUAAGCAUUCCGCCUGGGGAGUACGGUCGCAAGAUUAAAACUCAAAGGAAUUGACGGAAU